rnacentral:rRNA from 1 species
UACAGAGGUCUCAAGCGUUGUUCGGAUUCAUUGGGCGUAAAGGGUGCGUAGGCGGCGCGGUAAGUCGGGUGUGAAAUCUUGGAGCUUAACUCCGAAACUGCAUACGAUACUGCCGUGCUUGAGGACUGGAGAGGAGACUGGAAUUUACGGUGUAGCGGUGAAAUGCGUAGAUAUCGUAAGGAAGACCAGUGGCGAAGGCGGGUCUCUGGACAGUUACUGACACUGAGGCACGAAGGCCAGGGGAGCAAACGGG